GUUGCAGCUCCGUGCCAAAGUUAUAAAAGCAACGAGCGUCUCGGCCACGCCUUGUGGCGAGUGGGAGUUGGAUUUGCAAGCGAGCAUAGGAGGUCAGCGGUAGUUCAGCAUUAGCAUAUAGCAUUAGCAUAUCCUAGUCUUUAGCAUAUCUUUUAGUGUUAUAAAUACUUAUUUAGUGUUAGAUUUGGCUGUUGGAUAUUGUAGUUUAGUUAGUGUUUGGCUGUUAGUGUAAUUGGGAAAGUAUUUCGGGUUUAGUGUUCCAUAUCGUCUUAGUAUUGGUGAGUAGGUGUAGUGUAGUAUGCUUGCGGUGACUCUGUGGGCAUUUUACCCGCGAUUCUGCACGCCUCCGUUUGAAGAGGGAGGCUGCCCACCGUGGCUCUUCCGCGAUUUAGAUGCAGCCCACCGACUCUGCUCCCCCACCACGGCGGGCUCCAGUCUGAGGCUAAAUCUACCCAAGACACUGGCUGUCAGACUGAUUUAGCUGCAUGAAUGUACUUGUCCAGGCUGAUGUGAAACCUUCCCUGUAGCAAAGCCAGCCAGAAUGGAGUUCACAGCCGCAGUGUGUCUGGUGACCCACGGGGACCAUGAUGAAAAUUCAUCUUCCAGAAGGUCCCAGAGCGUCCAGACCCCCUGAAAAGACCAAGAUGUGAGGUGUCUGCUGUUGAUUCCAGCUUCCACCUCAGUGACAGUGCAAGCUCAGUGAACUGUUCAAGGUUAAAAAAAAAUUUAAAAAUUUCAGAAUUUUUAAGAUAUUAACAAUUAAAUAAGUAUGUGAUUACAUCAUGACGGAGGCUACUGAUUCUGCCCCUGUGACACUUGGUGGUGACGUGUGAGCUGAUUCUCCUGGAAAAUAACUUUUACAUUAAAUAUUUUGUUUUUGCUAUCAAAAGUAAAUUAACUA